AUUGAACGCUGGCGGCAGGCCUAACACAUGCAAGUCGAGCGGGGUUUUCGGACCUAGCGGCGGACGGGUGAGUAAUGCGUAGGAAGCUACCCGAUAGAGGGGGAUACCAGUUGGAAACGACUGUUAAUACCGCAUAAUGUCUACGGACCAAAGUGUGGGACCUUCGGGCCACAUGCUAUCGGAUGCGCCUACGUGGGAUUAGCUAGUUGGUGUGGUAAUGGCUCACCAAGGCGACGAUCCCUAGCCGGUUUGAGAGGAUGAUCAGCCACACUGGAACUGAGACACGGUCCAGACUCCUACGGGAGGCAGCAGUGGGGAAUAUUGGACAAUGGGCGCAAGCCUGAUCCAGCCAUGCCGCGUGUGUGAAGAAGGCCUUCGGGUUGUAAAGCACUUUCAGUAGGGAGGAAGAGUUGAGUGUUAAUAGUACUCAGCUUUGACGUUACCUACAGAAGAAGCACCGGCUAACUCUGUGCCAGCCGCCGCGGUAACAC
rnacentral:rRNA from 1 species